UUGAGCAUGUGUAAACAAUCAGCUUUCCCACUGUGAAACCAACUUGGCAAAAAUCAUAAGCAGGAUAUUAUGUUUGCUUUGCCUUGUGCUUUGAAAGAACAAGAGAAGAAAGCCAGCAAAUGAAAUGACGACUCCAUGAUGGCAUCUCCUGUGAGGCUCUAGAGGAGGACUGGCAAGGAGAGAAUCCUGAGGCUCCUGCUGCCCUCUACUUAGCUGCUAACUGAAGCCAUGAGACAUGCCUUGAUCCAGAAAUGACUAAAGGACCCGAAAAUACCAGAGGUAUUUCUUCGGUUUUGAAGUUUGAUGGCGUGGUCGAACGCCAGCCUAACCCUGUGGACUGUGGCCUCUACUGUGUGCUUUAUUGUUAUCAGAGGAAUCAAAGAACGCCAUAUUAUAGUGUAUAUGUGUAUGUGUGUGUGUGAGUGACACGGCACUUCCUCAGUGUGGAGGUUAGAAGACAGUUUUCAAGAGUGGGUUCUUUCCUCCUGUGUGAUGGAGGACUAAAUUCACAGCAGGCUUGCAUGGCAGCUGUUUUUACCCACUGAGCUGUUCUGACUAGCCCAAAUGAAAGAUAUUUUUGGUUAGAGAGUAUUUAUCAUGUAUUAGUAACUAAUCUGUCAAGUUGGCUUUCCUGGUGACCCCGUCAAAUUGUUUCUCUUUGCUCCAUUAUCUUUGAAGUUGUGUUUAACAAAGGGAAAGAGAUCUUUCCGUUGCCCAAACCAAACAGGUUCUGGCAUCCUGUUUACUUCUAAGGACAGUUCUGUAGCUAUUCAAGUUGCCCAAACCAGUCUUAAAGGCUCCACCUCUGUCUAAGCUCUAAUUUUAACUUUAAGAGAAGGGGUUCCCGUCCUUUCUCCAUGUACUCGUUUCCUCUCCCACCUUGCUCUGACUCCCUGGUGUAAUGGGCGAGGAUAAAGAAAAGCAAAGAGAAAAGGAGUUUUUUUUUUUUUUUUUUUUCAGCAACCCCAUCUUCAGGCUUUUAGGUCUUGGAAACAGACAGUUUGAGAGGGGGAGAUUUCAUAAUAAAGACACAAGACUGCUCCCUGA